rnacentral:rRNA from 1 species
GUGCCAGCCGCCGCGGUAAUACAGAGGGUGCGAGCGUUAAUCGGAAUUACUGGGCGUAAAGCGUGCGUAGAUGGUUAUGUAAGUCGGAUGUGAAAGCCCAGGGCUCAACCUUGGAAUUGCAUUCGAGACUGCAUAGCUAGGAUGCGGAAGAGGGAAGCGGAAUUUCCGGUGUAGCGGUGAAAUGCGUAGAUAUCGGAAGGAACACCAGUGGCGAAAGCGGCUUCCUGGUCCAGCAUCGACGUUCAGGCACGAAAGCGUGGGGAGCAAACAGGAUUAGAUACCCCUGUAGUCC